rnacentral:lncRNA from 1 species
CGUGCGAACCUGAAUUGUCCGAUUUCAAGGACCAAUCGAUAUCGGAUUGAGUCCAAAACUUGGGGAACAUCAUAAUAUGGUGGGAGGAGUCAUUUAGUGGGUUUUGAGUGAAAUCCAAUCCCUAGAACUAUACAAUACACCAACCACUCCAUUUCAAAACGAACUCGUACGAACCUGAAUUGUCAAAUUUCGUGGACCGAUCGAUAUCGGAUUGAGUCCAAAACUUGGGGAACAUCAUAAUAUUGUGGGAGGAGUCAUUUGGUGGGUUUUGAGUGAAAUCCAAUCUCUAGAACUAUACAAUACACCAAGCACCUCAUUUCAGAACGAAUUUCGUACGAACCUGAAUCCUCCGAUUUCAAGGACCAAUCGAUAUCGGAUUGAAUCCAAACCUUGGGGAACAUCAUAAUAUUGUGGGAGGAGUCAUUUGGUGGGUUUUGAGUGAAAUCCAAUCUCUAGAACUAGACAAUACACCAACCACCCCAUUUCCGAACGAACUUCGUACGAACCUGAAUUGUCCGAUUUCAAGGACCACUCGAUAUCGGAUUGAGUCCAAAACUUGGGGAACAUCAUAAUACUGUGGGAGGAGUCAUUUAGUUGGUUUUGAGUGAAAUCCAAUCCCUAGAACUACGCAAUACACCAACCACUCCAUUUCAGAACGAACUUCGUACGAACCUGAAUUGUCCGAUUUCAAGGACCAAUCUAUAUCGGAUUGAGUCCAAAACUUGGGGAACAUCAUAAUAUUGUGGGACGAGUCAUUUGGUGGGUUUUGAGUGAAAUCCAAUAUCUAGAACUAUACAAUACACCAACCACCCCAUUUAUGAACGAACUUCGUACAAACCUGAAUUGUCCGAUUUCAAGGACCAAUCGACAUCGGAUUGAGUCUAAAACUUGGGGAACAUAAUAAUAUUGUGGGAGGAGUCAUUUGAUGGGUUUUGAGUGAAAUCCAAUCUCUAGAACCAUACAAUACACCAACCACCCCAUUUCAGAACGAACUUCGUACGAACCUGAAUUGUCCGAUUUCAAGGACCAAUCGAUAUCGGAUUGAGUCCAAAACUUGGGCAACAUCAUAAUAUUGUGGGAGUUGUCAUUUGAUGGGUUUUGAUUGAAAUCCAAUCCCUAGAACUAUACAAUACACCAACCACACCAUUUCAGAACGAACUUCGUACGAACCUGAAUUGUCCGAAACUUGGGGAACAUCAUAAUAUUGUGCGAGGAGUCAUUUGGUGGGUUUUGACUGAAAUCCAAUCACUAGAACUAUACAAUACACCAACCACCCCAUUUAUAAACGAACUUCGUAGGAAUCUGAAUUGUCCGAUUUCAAGGACCAAUCGAUAUCGGAUUGAGUCCAAAACUUGGGGAACAUCAUAAUAUUGUGGGAGGAGUCAUUUGGUGGGUUUUGAGUGAAAUCCAAUCUCUAUAACUAUACAAUACACCAACAACCCUAUUUAUGAACGAACUUCGUAUGAACCUGAAUUGUCCGAUUUCAAAGACCACUCGAUAUCGGAUUGAGUCCAAAACUUGGGAACAUCAUAAUAUUGUGGGAGGAGUCAUUUGGUGGGUUUUGAGUGAAAUCCAUCCUCUAGAACUAUACAAUACACCAACCACCCCAUUUCAGAACGAACUUCGUACGAACCUGAAUUGUUCGAUUUCAAGGACCAAUCGAUAUCGGAUUGCGUCCAAAACUUGGGGAACAUCAUAAUAUUGUGGGAGUCAUUUGGUGGGUUUUGAGUGAAAUUCAAUCUCUAGAACUAUACAAUACACCAACCACCCCAUUUCAGAACGAACUUCGUACGAACCUGAAUUGUCCGAUUUCAAGGACCGAUCGACAUCGGAUUGAGUCCAAAACUUGCGGAACAUCAUAAUAUUGUGGGAGGAGUCAUUUCGUGGGUUUUGAGCAAAAUCCAAUCUCUAGAACAAUACAAUACACCAACCACCCCACUUCAGAACGAACUUCAUACGGACCUGAAUUGUCCGAUUUCAAGGACCAAUCGAUAUCGGAUUGAGUCCAAAACUUGGGGAACAUCAUAAUAUUGUGGGAGGAGUUAUUUGGAGGGUUUUGAGUGAAAUCCAAUCUCUUGAACGAUACAAUACACCAACCACCCCAUUUAAUAACGAACUUCGUACGAACCUGAAUUGUCCGAUUUCAAGGACCAAUCGACAUCGGAUUGAGUCCAAAACUUGGGGAACAUCAUAACAUUGUGGGAGGAGUCAUUUGGUGGGUUUUGAGUGAAAUCCAAUCUCUAGAACUAUACAAUACACCAACCACCCCCUUUCAUAACGAAAUUUCGUACGAACCUGAAAUUGUCCGAUUUCAGGGACCAAUCGACAUCGGAUUGGAGUCCAAAACUUGGGGAACAUGAUAAUAUUGUGGGAGGAGUCCAUUUGGGUGGGUUUUGAGUGAAAUCCAAUCUCGAGAACUAUACGAACCCCAACGACUCCAUUUCAGAACGAACUUCGUACGAACCUGAAUUGUCUAAUUUUUGGGCCCGAUCGAUAACGGAUUGAGUCCAAAACGUGGGGAACAUCAUAAUAUUAUGGGAGGAGUCAUUUGGUGGGUUUUCAGUGAAAUCGAAUGCCUAGAACUAUACAAUACACCAACCACUCCAUUUCAGAACGAACUUCGUACGAACCUGAAUUGUCAAAUUUCGUGCACCGAUCGAUAUCAGAUUGAGUCCAAAACUCGGGGAACAUCAUAAUAUUGUGGGAGGAGUCAUUUGGUGGGUUUUGAGUGAAAUCCAAUCUCUAGAACUAGACAAUACACCAACCACCCCAUUUCCGUACGAACUUCGUACGAACCUGAAUUGUCCGAUUUCAAGGACCACUCGAUAUCGGAUUGAGUCCAAAACUUGGGGAACAUCAUAAUACUAUGGGAGGAGUCAUUUAGUUGGUUUUGAGUGAAAUCCAAUCCCUAGAACUACGCAAUACACCAACCACUCCAUUUCAGAACGAACUUCGUACGAACCUGAAUUGUCCGAUUUCAAGGACCACUCGAUAUCGGAUUGAGUCCAAAACUUGGGGAACAUCAUAAUACUGUGGGAGGAGUCAUUUAGUUGGUUUUGAGUGAAAUCCAAUCCCUAGAACUAUACAAUACACCAACCACUCCAUUUCAGAACGAACUUUGUACGAACCUGAAUUGUCAAAUUUCGUGGACCGAUCGAUAUCGGAUUGAGUCCAAAACUUAGGGAACAUCACAAUAUUGUAGGAGGAGUCAUUUGGCGGGUUUUGAGUGAAAUCCAAUCUCUAGAACUAUACAAUACACCAACCACCCCAUUUCAGAACGAACUUCGUACGAACCUGAAUUGUCUGAUUUCAAGGACCGAUCGAUAUCGGAUUGAG